AGGACGAACGCUGGCGGCGUGCUUAACACAUGCAAGUGGAGCGACGAACCAGGGCUUGCCCUGGGGCAGAGCCGCGAACGGGUGAGUAACACGUGGGUUACCUGCCUUGAUGACCGGGACAACCCGAGGAAACUCGGGCUAAUACCGGAUGUGCCCGCAAGGGGAAAGGAAGCUUCGGCCUCCGCAUCAAGAUGGGCCCGCGGCCCAUUAGCUUGUUGGUGAGGUAACGGCUCACCAAGGCUACGAUGGGUAGCUGGUCUGAGAGGACGAUCAGCCACACUGGGACUGAGACACGGCCCAGACUCCUACGGGAGGCAGCAGUGGGGAAUCUUGCGCAAUGCGCGAAAGCGUGACGCAGCAACGCCGCGUGGGGGAAGAAGGCUUUCGGGUUGUAAACCCCUUUCAGUUGGGACGAAGCUUCGCCGGUGAAUAGCCGACUGGAGUGACGGUACCUUCAGAAGAAGCCCCGGCUAACUACGUGCCAGCAGCCGC
rnacentral:rRNA from 1 species